CUUCUGGGGGAGAUCCAGGCUGGAACGUUUGGUGCCUGGACACGAGGCCUGAAGUGGCUCCAGAUGCUGCAGCAGCAGCAGCAGCAGCAGCAGCUCAGGGCCAACCUUCAUGACUGGCUGGUCUCACCUCUGGGUGACAGGAUACCAGAUGUUCUGGUGCUGACAGGACGCACUCCAUAAAAAGGCUCCAAACUGAAAACACCCCAGAGCUGAAACAGGGGCCAUUGUGCUAUCUACACAGGCCGAGUCAGACUACCCUCAGGAUCUGCCGUGCCACUGAAGGUGAUAAGCCCAGAUGAUAUCCUGUGGGCCUAUUCCUCUCCUGUUAGGGUUUUACACACAUUUGUAUAAUUAUGUGAUACGAUAAAGGACUCCUCCAGUAAGCGUGUCCUGAGGGCUUGGUCACUUCCAGGACUGUGUGAAUAACAGUAUUCCCAGCACACAGAAUGAGCACUUCCCACACACUAGUUCGGUGACCUUUUUGUUUUGUUUUGUUUUGUUUUCUAAAAUUAUUCUUUGAGGGGCUGGAGAGAGGGCUCAAAAGUUGAGAGGAUCAGUUGCUCUUGCUGCGAACAUGGGUUCAAUUUCCUACACUCACACAGUGGCUUAUAAUCAUUCAUAACUCCAGUUCCAGGGUAUCUGAUGGGCUUUUCUUUUUCUUCCAUGGGCACAAGACACACACAUAUGGUCUGCAUACAUACAUGCACCCAUAUGCAAAGUAUCGGUUCAUGUAAAACAAAAUUUGAGACAGGGAUCUCUCUAUUUGACUCUGGUGAUCCUAGCACUCACUAUGUAGACCAGACUGGCCUCGAACUCGCAGACAUCCACCUGCCUCUGCCUCCCCAGUGCUAAGAUCAAAGGCGUUUGCCACCAUGUCUGGCCUAAACAAAUCAAUUUUUAAAAGACUUAAAUAAUUGUAUUAUUUGGCAUGUAUAAAAUAUAUUUUGACUCCACUCCAUUACACUC
rnacentral:lncRNA from 1 species